rnacentral:rRNA from 1 species
GAUGAACGCUGGCGGCGUGCUUAACACAUGCAAGUCGAACGGAAAGGCUCCUGCUUGCAGGGGUACUCGAGUGGCGAACGGGUGAGUAACACGUGGGUGAUCUGCCCUGCACUUCGGGAUAAGCCUGGGAAACUGGGUCUAAUACCGGAUAGGACGAUGGUUUGGAUGCCAUUGUGGAAAGUUUUUUCGGUGUGGGAUGAGCUCGCGGCCUAUCAGCUUGUUGGUGGGGUAAUGGCCUACCAAGGCGUCGACGGGUAGCCGGCCUGAGAGGGUGUACGGCGACAAUGGGACUGAGGUACGGCCCAGACUCCUACGGGAGGCAGCAGUGGGGAAUAUUGCACAAUGGGCGCAAGCCUGAUGCAGCGACGCCGCGUGGGGGAUGACGGCCUUCGGGUUGUAAACUCCUUUCGCUAGGGACGAAGCGCAAGUGACGGUACCUUGAGAAGAAGCACCGGCUAACUACGUG